UCUUCUUCCUGAGGAGACUGAAGAAGUUUGGCAUGGAUUCAGUCAUCCUCACCAAUUUCUACAGAUGCACAAUAGAAAGCAUCCUGACUGGGUGCAUCACAGUGUGGGAGCUGCACAGCCAAGGACCGCAAGGCCCUACGCAGUGUGGUCAGGACUGCGGAGUUCAUCAUCGAUGCUGUCAGAAAGAAUCACUCAACACAUCGUCCACUGGCGACCAGGUUCUUAAGCACGCCAUUCGAUGGUUCAACCUGGCAGCAGACCGGGGUAGCUCCAGGAGGCGUGCUACUGUAGACGUCCCCCACACUGAACAGACUUAAAAUAUAUCUUUUUUAAAUGUGUGUGUAUAUAAAUUUGUCCUUUCAAAUAAAAAACUGUUUGACAUUA